GGAGCGAUCUGGCGCCGGCGUACCCUUGUGGGGCCCGUAAAGCGCGGAAGGUCGCGGUCCCCGGCUUUCCCCGGAACUUUUUGCUCCCUCCGCCCCGCCCCUUUCCCUUCCCCGUUCCCCGCGUUCUGGCGCCGGGACCCCCCAACCCCCGCAGCUGUUGUGGCUGCUGCCCCGCUGCCGCCGGGGUGCUGCUGACCGCGGAGCCCGCGGGGGCCCGUCAGUGUGCAUGUCGGGGGUCUCCGCCGUAGCCGAGUGAGAGCGCACCGCCGAGCUGCUGGCAGACGUGAUGUCUUACCGGUUGCUGUCGGUGGUCCGAAGACAAAGGACCGGCCGAGGAUGGCAGAACUGGUCGUCGGGGAGGAGCGGCGCGUCGGCUGCCGAGGCGCAUUCUGUCACCCUGCCUGCCCAGGCGCAGGUGGUCAUCUGUGGUGGUGGGAUCAUGGGCACAUCCGUGGCCUAUCACCUCUCCAAGAUGGGGUGGAAGGAUGUUGUCCUUCUGGAGCAGGGCAGGCUGGCUGCUGGCUCUACGAGGUUCUGUGCUGGUAUCCUGAGCACCGCCAGGCACUUGACCAUCGAGCAGAAGAUGGCAGACUAUUCCAACAAACUCUACCACCAGUUAGAGCAAGAGACGGGGAUCCAGACAGAGCCCCUGCUGAGUUCCUUCCUGUGUCGCAUGCCAGAUGGAGACUCUGGAGGUCCUGAAGUUGGUGAACUGCCCUGAGACCUUCACUCCAGACAUGAGGUGCAUCAUGGGCGAGUUUCCUUCAGUUCAUGUGCUGGCGGGAAUGAACUCUGCUGGCCUUUCAUUUGGUGGAGGGGCUGGAAGGUUUAAAAAGGAGAGUAGAGCCCCUCCCUCAAGAGAGCACAAGAGGUGACGGCAGAUCAUUUUAGAGAAAAAAAGGACCAGCCAUCGUCCAGUCUGGGAGUCCAGAUCUGAGGGAUCUCUAGCGAGAGAUGAGUG